rnacentral:rRNA from 1 species
GACGAACGCUGGCGGCGUGCCUAAUACAUGCAAGUUGAGCGCUGAAGGUUGGUACUUGUACCGACUGGAUGAGCAGCGAACGGGUGAGUAACGCGUGGGGAAUCUGCCUUUGAGCGGGGGACAACAUUUGGAAACGAAUGCUAAUACCGCAUAAAAACUUUAAACACAAGUUUUAAGUUUGAAAGAUGCAAUUGCAUCACUCAAAGAUGAUCCCGCGUUGUAUUAGCUAGUUGGUGAGGUAAAGGCUCACCAAGGCGAUGAUACAUAGCCGACCUGAGAGGGUGAUCGGCCACAAUGGGACUGAGACACGGCCCAAACUCCUACGGGAGGCAGCAGUAGGGAAUCUUCGGCAAUGGACGAAAGUCUGACCGAGCAACGCCGCGUGAGUGAAGAAGGUUUUCGGAUCGUAAAACUCUGUUGGUAGAGAAGAACGUUGGUGAGAGUGGAAAGCUCAUCAAGUGACGGUAACUACCCAGAAAGGGACGGCUAACUACGUG